rnacentral:ncRNA from 2 species
AGCAGCCGCGGUAAUUCCAGCUCCAAUAGCGUAUAUUAAAGUUGUUGCAGUUAAAAAGCUCGUAGUUGAAUUUCGGGGUUAGUAGGUUGGUCGUGCCACUGGUACGUACUGGUCUCACUGAUUCCUCCUUCCUGAUGAACUGUAAUGCCAUUAAUUUGGUGUUGCAGGGAAACUGGACUGUUACUUUGAAAAAAUUAGAGUGUUUAAAGCAAGCUAACGCUUGAAUACAUUAGCAUGGAAUAAUGAAAUAGGACGUUCGAUCCUAUUUUGUUGGUUUCUAGGAUUGACGUAAUGAUUAAUAGGGAUAGUUGGGGGCAUUAGUAUUCAAUUGUCAGAGGUGAAAUUCUUGGAUUUAUUGAAGACUAACUACUGCGAAAGCAUUUGCCAAGGAUGUUUUCAUUAAUCAAGAACGAAAGUUAGGGGAUCGAAGACGAUCAGAUACCGUCGUAGUCUUAACCAUAAACUAUGCCGACUAGGGAUCGGAUGAUGUUAAUUUUUUAAUGACUCAUUCGGCGCCUUA